ACGCAGACAGUGGUGAGUGUGUGGAAUGGGCUGCCGGCGAUGGUGGUGGAGGCUGCUACAAUAGGGUCUUUUAAGAGACUCCUAGAUAGGUACAGGGAGCUCAGGAAGAUAGAGGGCUAUGGGUAACCCUAGGUAAUUUUUAAGGUAAGGAUAUGUUUGGCACAGCUUUAUGGGCUGAAGGGCCUGUAUUACGCUGUAGGUUUUCAAUGUUUCUAUGUUUCUAAACUUGGGCUAUGUACCUCUUUCUGCAGCUGGAUCCUUGACUUCCUUAUCAGGAGACCACAGUCGGUGCAGAUCGGAAAUAACAUCUCCACGCUGACAAUCAGCACUGACGCACCCUCAAAGAUGCAUGUUUAGCCCACUGCUCUACUCUCCCUACUCCAAUGACUGUGUGUCUGGGCACAGUUCAAACACCAUUGAUAAAUUUGCUGAUGACACAACUAUUGCAAGCAGAAUUUCAGAUGGUGACGAGGAGGCGGAGAGGAGUGAGCUAGAUCGGCUGGUUGCGAGGUGUUGCAACAAUUGCAUUGUACUCCAUGUCAUUAAGGCCAAGGGAUUGAUUGUGGACUUCUGGAAGGGGAAUUUACGGGAACAUACAUCAGUCCUCAUUGUGGAAUCAGAAGUGGAAAGGCUCUUUGGAUUACUCGUCCAAUAACAUCAUCACUAUUCCCGCAUGAUAGAAUGGAGAUGCUACUGUGUGGGGGUCUUGUCCAGAUGUGGAGGCUACAGGAGGGUUCUUUUGAAGACCCUGACCUGGAGUUACAUGCUGACUUCAGUUCUUUGUGGGAAUGGGACCCACUCUCGGGGUUUCACGACUGGCAGUUAUUCGAUUUGCCAAGGGUAUGGCCUAAGAGCUUAGCUCACCUUCCAAGGUCCGGGAUCUCGUGGCCCUGGAGACGGGCAGACCGAAGGUCGGUGUCCCAGCAGGAAUCUGGUGUGUCAUGGGAGACGGAAGAUCUUUGGUUGUGUGCCCAGAGACCCAAGAUCUUUGGUACAGAGCUUGGAAGAAGCAAUGCAACUGACUUUUAACAUUGUAAAUCGGUGAUUGUUUGUUAUGUCUCCCCUUUCGCGGUGAAAUGGAAACACCUCUUUCUCCCUUAUUAAGGAGAGAGAGAGAGCCUGUGGUAUGUUGAAUACUGGGUGAACGUCAUGACGAAGGGUCUCGGCCUGAAACGUCGACUGCGCCUCUUCCUAUAGAUGCUGCUUGGCCUGCUGCGUUCACCAGCAACUUUGAUGUAUGUUGCUUGAAUUUCCAGCAUCUGCAGAAUUCCUGUUGUUUACUGGGUGAACGAGUAGUCUUUGGGGUAUUGCAAGCUUGUGUCUUUGUCGUUGCUUUGCUGCAUGCUUGAGUGCUCAG